GCCUGGGUGGCUCAGUGGGUUGGGCGGCUGACUCCAGCUCAGGUCAUGAUCUCGCUGUGUGUUUGAGCCCCACCUUGGGCU
rnacentral:tRNA from 1 species